UACGAAGGGUGCUAGCGUUGUUCGGAAUCACUGGGCGUAAAGAGUACGUAGGCGGUUUGACAAGUCGAUUGUGAAAGCCCCAAGCUCAACUUGGGAAUUGCGGUCGAAACUGUUAGGCUAGAGUAUGUUGGGGGAUAGUGGAAUUCUUAGUGUAGGGGUGAAAUCCGUAGAUAUUAAGAGGAAUACCGGUGGCGAAAGCGACUAUCUACGCCAUUACUGACGCUGAGGUACGAAAGCGUGGGGAGCAAAC
rnacentral:rRNA from 1 species